rnacentral:rRNA from 1 species
AAAGUCGUAACAAGGUUUCCGUAGGUGAACCUGCGGAAGGAUCAUUAUUGAAAUAAACCUGAUGAGUUGUUGCUGGUUCUCUAGGGAGCAAUGUGCACACUUGUCAUCUUUGUAUCUUCACCUGUGCAUCUUUUGUAGACCUGACUAUCUCUCUGAAUGCUUAUGGCACUCAGGAUUGAGAAUUGACUUCUUGUCUUUUCUUAUAUGUUAGGUCUAUGUUUCUUCAUAUACCCUAUGUAUGUUUAUAGAAUGUAAUCAAUGGGCCUUUGUGCCUAUAAACCUUUACAACUUUCAGCAACGGAUCUCUUGGCUCUCGCAUCGAUGAAGAACGCAGCGAAAUGCGAUAAGUAAUGUGAAUUGCAGAAUUCAGUGAAUCAUCGAAUCUUUGAACGCACCUUGCGCUCCUUGGUAUUCCGAGGAGCAUGCCUGUUUGAGUGUCAUUAAUAUAUCAACCUUUUUGGGUUGGAUGUGGGUUUGCUGGCCUUUUGAGGUCAGCUCCCCUUAAAUGCAUUAGCGGACAACAUUUUGCCAACUGUUCAUUGGUGUGAUAAUUAUCUACGCUAUUGACCUGAAGCAAUAGUUCAGCUUCUAAUAGUCCAUUGACUUGGACAACUCUUAUUUAUUAAUUUGACCUCAAAUCAGGUAGGACUACCCGCUGAACUUAAGCAUAUCAAUAAGCGGAGGAAAAGAAACUAACAAGGAUUCCCCUAGUAACUGCGAGUGAAGCGGGAAAAGCUCAAUUUAAAAUCUGGCAGUCUUUGGCUGUCCGAGUUGUAAUCUAGAGAAGCAUUAUCCGCGC